AACAGCUCUGCGCUGCUCCACGAAGCGCAAGAAGUAUGAAUGCCCUGACUUCUGAAGAGGCCGUACCGCUGUAAAUGCUGCACGGCCAAUGUAGACAUCGGAUUGACCAAGUAGUGCCUAUAUAUGAACUUCAUGGCCUGUGAAACGACAUGCUGAAAUCCAGAGCACUUAUUUGGAAAUUGACAUCAAACAGCCACCUGAAGAACAGGUCGAGACUAGAGAUGGAAGAACCACAGGCUGUCAACAGGCCGGGUGACGUUGAGUUUGUCCAUGGUGUUGACGAUGAUGGCGGGCGUGGUGAGGAAGAAGAGGAGUAGGAAGAGGAGGAUAUUGAGCAGGACAAAGCGCAGCCACCAGCGGGAGCCACACAGCGACAGGUUCUCCCUGGAGACAGAGAAGUAAACAAGAAGUCAGAUGCUCAUCUAUCCAAAAGCCUUCACGUCAUAUUGCCACUAAUCUGUACUACUGUGUAAACCCACAAAGUAUGAAUACAACAAAAGCAACCCCUAAAGUGAGAGGGAGUAUGCUCCAGCGCACUGACUACUCUGGAGUGGAUAACAGGUUGGACACAUCACACUCCUUUUUAAAGAAGGGAAACAGUCGGUUACCCAGAGCGACAUGCAGAGGCAAUGUGUCACAGCCGGCCGUGACCGGGAGCCCCACAGUUGUCUAGACUACCUGCACCAGGAAGCAGUACUACUCCCUCCACACAAACACACACUGCCAUACACACAGCCAAUGAGGCAUGAAGCACAAACAGCGAGCGCCGCGUGGCUGGGAUACCUCACCGGCUAAUCCCACCAUACACAUGUAGCACUCACAUUAUGUGACCUCAGAGGGGCUGAUGGUUAUCAUCUAAACCUUUCAUUUUAUAACUGAUCUCAAAUACACUAAACUACCAACAAACUAUUUCAUUGUAAAAAAUAAAAAACACACCAUCUAAGAUAACCCACACAAAUAUAAUUCUAAAAUCCAUCUAAUUAAGAUGGUUAAAUGGUUGAGUGGAACGGCCACAUGGCAGUGACUAGAGACGGCGCUCUUGUAAGAGAAAGUAGCAGGUUAACGACCUCCGCAAACAGCUUUAAAAGUCUGUGGCAGGGCACAGCUCGUUAAUAUGCGUCAGGUUGAAUUCCGGCCUAAGUACAGUUAGAUAACCAAAUGGGAGGGAAUUUCAAGCCAUGAUCUGCAUUCAGAUAACCUCCUCACUCACCA